GGGUUGUGAGGUUAAGCGACUAAGCGUACACGGUGGAUGCCUAGGCAGUCAGAGGCGAUGAAGGGCGUGCUAAUCUGCGAUAAGCGUCGGCAAGGUGAUAUGAACCGUUAUACCCGACGAUACCCGAAUGGGGAAACCCAGUGUGUUUCGACACACUAUCAUGACAUGAAUCCAUAGUGUCAUGAGGCGAACCGGGGGAACUGAAACAUCUCAGUACCCCGAGGAAAAGAAAUCAACCGAGAUUCCCCCAGUAGCGGCGAGCGAACGGGGAGGAGCCCAGAACCUGAAUCGGCUUGUGUGUCAGUGGAAGCGUCUGGAAAGUCGCACGAUACAGGGUGACAGUCCCGUACACGAAGAUGCACAGACCGUGAGUUCGAUGAGUAGGGCGGGACACGUGGUAUCCUGUCUGAACAUGGGGGGACCAUCCUCCAAGGCUAAAUACUCCUGACUGACCGAUAGUGAACCAGUACCGUGAGGGAAAGGCGAAAAGAACCCCGGCGAGGGGAGUGAAAUAGAACCUGAAACCGUGUACGUACAAGCAGUGGGAGC
rnacentral:rRNA from 1 species